rnacentral:rRNA from 1 species
GACAGAGGGGGCAAGCGUUGUCCGGAAUCAUUGGGCGUAAAGCGCGUGUAGGCGGUUCGGUAAGUCGGCUGUGAAAGUCCAGGGCUCAACCCUGGGAUGCCGGUCGAUACUGCCGGACUAGAGUUCGGAAGAGGCGAGUGGAAUUCCCGGUGUAGCGGUGAAAUGCGCAGAUAUCGGGAGGAACACCUAUGGCGAAGGCAGCUCGCUGGGACGUUACUGACGCUGGAGACGCGAAAGCGUGGGGAGCAAACAGG